UACGUAGGGGGCAAGCGUUGUCCGGAAUCAUUGGGCGUAAAGCGCGCGUAGGCGGCCCGGUAAGUCCGCUGUAAAAGUCCAGGGCUCAACCCUGGAAAGCCGGUGGAUACUGUCGGGCUAGAGUCCGGAAGAGGCGAGUGGAAUUCCUGGUGUAGCGGUGAAAUUCGUAGAUAUCGGGAGGAACACCGGCGGCGAAGGCGGCGACCUGGGUGGAUACUGACGCUGAGGUGCGAAAGCGUGGGGAGCAAACAGG
rnacentral:rRNA from 1 species